UAGGGAAUCUUCGGCAAUGGACGGAAGUCUGACCGAGCAACGCCGCGUGAGUGAAGAAGGUUUUCGGAUCGUAAAGCUCUGUUGUUAGAGAAGAACGUUGGUAGGAGUGGAAAAUCUACCAAGUGACGGUAACUAACCAGAAAGGGACGGCUAACUACGUGCCAGCAGCCGCGGUAAGACUUAGGUCCCGAGCGUUGUCCGGAUUUAUUGGGCGUAAAGCGAGCGCAGGCGGUUCUUUAAGUCUGAAGUUAAAGGCAGUGGCUUAACCAGUGUACGCCUUGGAAAAUGGAGGACUUGAGUGCAGAAGGGGAGAGUGGAAUUCCAUGUGUAGCGGUGAAAUGCGUAGAUAUAUGGAGGAACACCGGUGGCGAAAGCGGCUCUCUGGUCUGUAACUGACGCUGAGGCUCGAAAGCGUGGGGAGCAAACAGG
rnacentral:rRNA from 1 species